rnacentral:rRNA from 1 species
UACGAAGGGAGCUAGCGUUGUUCGGAAUCACUGGGCGUAAAGCGCACGUAGGCGGAUGUGUCAGUCAGGGGUGAAAUCCCGGAGCUCAACUUCGGAACUGCCUUUGAUACAGCACAUCUGGAGUCCGGAAGAGGUGGGUGGAAUUCCUAGUGUACAGGUGAAAUUCGUAGAUAUUAGGAAGAACACCGGUGGCGAAGGCGGCCCACUGGUCCGGUACUGACGCUGAGGUGCGAAAGCGUGGGGAGCAAACAGG